AUUGAACGCUGGCGGAAUGCUUUACACAUGCAAGUCGAACGGCAGCACGGACUUCGGUCUGGUGGCGAGUGGCGAACGGGUGAGUAAUGUAUCGGAACGUGCCCAGUCGUGGGGGAUAACGUAGUGAAAAUUACGCUAAUACCGCAUACGAUCUAUGGAUGAAAGCGGGGGAUCGCAAGACCUCGCGCGAUUGGAGCGGCCGAUAUCAGAUUAGGUAGUUGGUGGGGUAAAGGCCCACCAAGCCAACGAACUGUAGCUGGUCUGAGAGGACGACCAGCCACACUGGAACUGAGACACGGGCCAGACUCCUACGGGAGGCAGCAGUGGGGAAUGUUGGACAAUGGGCGAAAGCCUGAUCCAGCCAUUCCGCGUGCAGGAUGAAGGCCCUCGGGUUGUAAACUGCUUUUGUACAGAACGAAAAGGUUUCUACUAAUACUAGGAGCUCAUGACGGUACUGUAAGAAUAAGCACCGGCUAACUACGUGCCAGCCGCCGCAGUAA
rnacentral:rRNA from 1 species